ensembl:piRNA 21ur-2393 ncRNA
UGCGUAUGGCGUAUCAGUUCU